AGAGUUUGAUCCUGGCUCAGGAUGAACGCUGGCGGCAUGCCUAAUACAUGCAAGUCGAACGGAGAAGCCUAACAGAAGAUGCUUGCAUCGGAAGAUAGAUACUUCUCAGUGGCGAACGGGUGAGUAACACGUAGGUAACCUGCCCAUGUGCCCGGGAUAAUUUCUGGAAACGGAAACUAAAACCGGAUAGGUAAUAGAGAAGCAUUUCUAUAUUAUUAAAGAAGCCUCAAAGCUUUGAACAUGGAUGGACCUGCGGUGCAUUAGCUAGUUGGUAAGGUAACGGCCUACCAAGGCGACGAUGCAUAGCCGACCUGAGAGGGCGAACGGCCACAUUGGGACUGAGACACGGCCCAAACUCCUACGGGAGGCAGCAGUAGGGAAUUUUCGUCAAUGGGGGGAACCCUGAACGAGCAAUGCCGCGUGAGUGAAGACGGUCUUCGGAUUGUAAAGCUCUGUUGUGAGAGAAAAAGGAUAUAUAUAGGAAAUGAUAUGUAUUUGAUGGUAUCUCACCAGAAAGUCACGGCUAACUACGUGCCAGCAGCCGCGGUAAUACGUAGGUGGCGAGCGUUAUCCGGAAUGAUUGGGCGUAAAGGGUACGUAGGCGGCAUGAUAAGUCUGGAGUGAAAGGCUACAGCUCAACUGUAGUAUGCUCUGGAAACUGUCAAGCUAGAGUGCAGAAGAGGGCAAUGGAACUCCAUGUGUAGCGGUAAAAUGCGUAGAUAUAUGGAAGAACACCGGUGGCGAAGGCGGUUGCCUGGUCUGAAACUGACGCUGAAGUACGAAAGCGUGGGGAGCAAAUAGGAUUAGAUACCCUAGUAGUCCACGCCGUAAACGAUGAGAACUAGGUGUUGGGGGAAUAACUCAGUGCCGCAGUUAACGCAGUAAGUUCUCCGCCUGGGGAGUAUGCACGCAAGUGUGAAACUCAAAGGAAUUGACGGGGGCCCGCACAAGCGGUGGAGUAUGUGGUUUAAUUCGAAGCAACGCGAAGAACCUUACCAGGCCUUGACAUCCCUUGCAGAGAUAUAGAGAUAUAUCCGAGGUUAUCAAGGAGACAGGUGGUGCAUGGUUGUCGUCAGCUCGUGUCGUGAGAUGUUGGGUUAAGU
rnacentral:rRNA from 1 species